rnacentral:rRNA from 1 species
UACAGAGGUCUCGAGCGUUGUUCGGAUUCAUUGGGCGUAAAGGGUGCGUAGGUGGCGCUGUAAGUCGGGUGUGAAAUCCUGGGGCUUAACCCCGGAACUGCAUUCGAUACUGCAGUGCUUGAGGACUGGAGAGGAGACUGGAAUUCAUGGUGUAGCAGUGAAAUGCGUAGAGAUUUGGAGGAACACCAGUGGCGAAGGCGACUUUCUGGUCUGUAACUGACACUGAGGCGCGAAAGCGUGGGGAGCAAACAGG